UUGUACACACCGCCCGUCGUUACUACCGAUUGAAUGGCUUAGUGAGGUCUUGGGAGCGUUGGCUUGGUGGGCGACCGCCGCGCUGAUGCAAACUUGAUCAAACUUGGUCAUUUAGAGGAAGUACAAGUCGUAACAAGGUUUCCGUAGGUGAACCUGCGGAAGGAUCAUUUUUGAACCAUAUUAACACUGUGACGAGCCCUUGCGUAGCGAGGGCGACUGCUUCCGGUUCGCCGGAUUAUUUUUUUAACCAAAUCUGAUAAUGUUAGUGAAAAACUUUCAACAACGGAUCUCUUGGUUCUCGCAUCGAUGAAGAACGCAGCAAAGCGCGAUAGGUAAUGCGAAUUGCAGACGUGAGUCAUUGAAUCUUUGAACGCACAUUGCGCCAGUUUACUGGCAUACUGCGUUGAGCGUCGGCCUUCCUCCACAGGUGCUGCUACUUACAGUAGUGAAAGGCAUGGAAACGCACCCGUUAGCAAACCGGUGCUGACCUACAAAUUCGACCUCAGCGUAGUAAGAUUACCCGCUGAACUUAAGCAUAUCAAUAAGCGGAGGAAAAGAAACCAACAGGGAUUGCCCUAGUAAUGGCGAAUGAACAGGCAAAAGCUCAGAUUUGAAACCCUCGGGAUUGUAAUCUGGAGACCUGGAUUUGGCACGCUGACCAAGUCUUCUGGAACGGAGCGCCAUGGAGGGUGACAGCCCCGUAGCAGCAGCCGCAGUAAAUCCGGGUCGACGAGUCGA
rnacentral:rRNA from 1 species